rnacentral:lncRNA from 1 species
GCGAAAUUGAAUGCGAAAAGACAAGUUGAAGUUCAGCUAUGAAAUUCCUGUAUCUUCUUCACGGUAAGUUUUUUACUCUUUGUUUAAUCGAAGAACAAAACCAUUUAAUAAAAAUUUUAUGAAACGGGCUUUUCUGUAUUGGUCCUGUUGUAGUUUGUGGAUAGCUGUAUAAUUUUGGAUCCGAGACUCGAAGACUGUUCUUGAAUGAAGUUG